UUUUUUAAAGGCAAAAACACCGGUUACCUGCAGAAAUCACGAGCGGGUAUAAAUUACAGCUGUCCCUCGGCCCCCCGCCCUCCUCGGUGCCCUGACGUUGCUUGGCGUGCCCGCUCCAGAGCCGAAGGUGCAGAGUUACGCCGUAUCCCCCCCACUACUGCGCUCAGGACGCUGCCAUAUUCCAAAUAGCAUAAGUGGGCCUCUGCGCAUGCGCGACGUCUGCCCUGUCAUGCGGCGGUCAGCUGAUUGGACUGUCAGAACUCGGGGGGUAGCGAUAACCGGUCCCAGAGUGUGUUAACUAUAAUUCAUCAAUCCAAUACCAGCCCUGCCUGCAAAGAGGAGGUUGAGGUGCAGCAUGAUGACAAAGCCAUUCAACACAUUGGUUCUCUACACCUAAAGAUGAGAUGACUAACCUUGAUUGGAGGUAAAGGGGAAACAUCUUGGCCUCUGUGCUGGACUGAUGUUGCACACUCAACUCCAUCGGCACAGAGUGGUCACGUUAUUAAGCAUCUGAUUUGAUCACACUACUAUCAUAGGAGUGACAAAGAACCUGUGUCCGCAAGCCUCAGGUAGGAUGUUAAUGAAUGUCAUUCAUAUAUUUGCUUGCAUGACAAUGGGUUUAUGGAAACAUUGGCUUAUUGUAUGUUUAAUUGGACAAACUCUCUUUUUAUGUUACAUUUUUGGGAGCUUUUAAUGGCACAGCAUACAUUGACGCAAUGCUGGUAUGUAAUGUUUAAUCUUUAGAUUUAUCUAAAAUAAAAAGACCAAGUUUUCCACUUCAUGAAUUUUACAUUUUAACCUUUGACGUUUGACUCCUAAAGCCCAUGUAUCGUCUUUCCAGACAUAACAACAGUGAUGUCCAAACUGAGGCCGAGGGCCAUUUGUCGCCGCAGUUUAGCUUUAAGCGAUAGUCAUCAAAACCAUCAAUAAAUCAGAAAAUACAUCCAUCGAUCCAUUUCCUACCGCUUGUCCCUUACAGGGUCACGGGGGGCGCUGGCGCCUAUCUCAGCUACAAUCGGGCGGAAGGCGGGGUGUACCCUGGACAAGUCGCCACCUCAUCGCAGAGAAAAUACAUUCUUUUAAUAUUUUUUUCUGUAUGUAGCAAAGGUAUUCAAUUAAAGACUUUCUGUUUUUUCAUCAAAGCUCCAUCCAUCCAUCCAUUUUCUACUGCUUGUCCCUUUCGGGGUCGCUGGAGCCUAUCUCAGCUGCAUUGGACAAGUCGCCACCUCAUCGCAGGGCCAAUACAGAUAGACAGACAACAUUCACACUCACAUUCACACACUAGGGCCAAUUUAGUGUUGCCAAUCAACCUUUGCCCAAGUGCAUGUUUUUGGAGGUGGGAGGAAACCGGAGGGAACCCACGGAGUCACGGGGAGAACAUGCAAACUCCACAAGAUCCUGAGCCUGGGAUUGAACUCAGGACUACUCAGGACCUUCGUAUUGUGAGGCACAUCUUCAACCGUGCUGCACUUGAUCAAACCUCUGAAAUGAAUUAACUUUAAAAAAUAUAGAUUUAUGGAUGAAUAUAACAAUAUCACGUAUUGUAUAUAUUAUAACAUCCAUCCAUCCAUUUUUUACCACUUGUCCUUUUCGGGUCAUGGGGGUGGCUGCUGGAGCCUAUCUCAGCUGCAUUCGGGCGGAAGGCGUGGUGCACCCUGGACAGGUCGCCACCUCAUUGCAGUAUAUUAUAACAUUGAAAUACAAAUAUGUAAAUUGAUGUUAACAUACAGGUGAAACUAAAACAUUUUUAAAAUC